UAAACCCGAAUUCUCUUUAUCCCUCUGCAGCUCCGCUCUCCACAAAAAAAGUGAAAAACCCUAGCGACGCUCCUUCUUCCGCCGCAUCUGACUAUCUGAGCAUCUCUCCCUCGCUCGCACAGUCGCACUCUGGAGGCUGGAGCUCCUCCCACCCCGAUCCCACCUCUGGCGCUCUUCCCUCUCUGAUCCCCCUCUUCCUCCCAUCACCGCUCAGAGCUCAGUCCUCUCGGCUCUCCCUCUCCCGCUCUCCGAUAGUCCGAUAUCCUCAAAAUCCCUAGCAAGUAGCAAAGUUUGGGGGGGACCGUGGGAAGAGGAAGGUCAACCAUCUUUUGCAGAUUACUCGAGUACCUCUUCCACUUGAUCUAAGGCUUCAAAUUAGGUUGUAUUGUUCCGAAUCUUUUGACUUCUUUCAAUUUGAUUGUAAUAUUUUUUGUUUUAUUAUAGAAAUGCCUCCAAGAAAGUAUCCAUCUGGAUAUGAUAAACGCAAGAAAAA